rnacentral:misc_RNA from 1 species
GAUAUCAAACUCAUAAUGAAAGGUUUCUUAAAUUUGGCAGCUUCACGCUACCCUGCUUCUUUACGGAGACACCCAACUGCAUUCCUACGGUUACCAAGGUCUCUAGUGAUCUUCCACUGUUUUCCAGGAGAUCCUCAUCUAUCCUUAUGGAAUCCUUUUCAAAGACGCAAAUUACAGUACUUCCACCAAAAGAAAAAUAUCCAAACUCAUCCCCUUUUUUCACAUAGUCACCCUCCUUUUUAGAGAAAUUAAUGCUACCAACCAUUGUUGCUCCAAUUGCAACAAAU